rnacentral:rRNA from 1 species
AUUGAACGCUGGCGGCAGGCUUAACACAUGCAAGUCGAGCGAGCGGCGGACGGGUGAGGAAUGUCUGGGAAACUGCCUGAUGGAGGGGGAUAACUACUGGAAACGGUAGCUAAUACCGCAUACCAUCAGAUGUGCCCAGCGGGGAUUAGCUAGUAGGUGGGGUAAUGGCUCACCUAGGCGAAGAUCCCUAGCUGGUCUGAGAGGAUGCACAUCCACACUGGAACUGAGCCACGGUCCAGACGCCUACGGGAGGCAGCCGUUGUGAAUAUUGCACAAUGGGCGCAAGCCUGAUUCAGCCAUGCCGCGUGUGUGAAGAAGGCCUUCGGGUUGUAAAGCACGUUCAGCGAGGAGGCGUUACUCGCAGAAGAAGCACCGGCUAACUCCGUGCCAGCAGCCGCGGUAAUUC